rfam:Myotis davidii contig32261, whole genome shotgun sequence.
UGCAGUUCUUGGGUGACACACCCUGGAAUCAGGCUCCCUUCUCUCUGGUUCCCGGGUGCAUCACCCAAAAACCAAU